CUUUGAGACAAGUUAGUCAUCAUCCAAUGAUUGUUGCAUGCCACCAUGAAGGUAGAGGACGGAAAUUUUGGGGUCGUUCAAUCCAGCUUGAUCCUGUUGGUUUUCUAACUCUCGAGUUUGAUGAUGGUGAAGUUUUUCAGUGGAGCAAGGUAUGAAAAUCAUGAAUGAAAAUAGUAACAUUUGUUUCCUAAUGGGGUUCAAGCUGAAAUGUGUAUUUCUUUUUUAUUUUUUCCUUCAGGCAAUAACUUUUGUAUUCUACCAAUCACUGAUCACCAAAACUUGGACUGUUCCCUUUCAGGAGAUAAUUGAUAUGGAUGAUGGAAUAUAUGAAGCUGUUGCAGGAAGUGACUUUAUCAUUACUAGAGUUGCAUUUCGAGACAACUCUUCAAAGUACUACAUAAAUGACCGUGGAAGUAAUUUUAUAGAGGUUACUAAGAAACUGAAAGGAAAAGGAGUGGACUUUGACAAUUGUAAUUUCAGCAUUAUUGUAAUUGUAAUUGUGAAUGAAUGAAUGAACGAUUGUAAUUGAUUGUAAUUGAAUGAAUGAAUGAUUAUG